rnacentral:rRNA from 1 species
AGUGAACGCUGGCGGCAGGCCUAACACAUGCAAGUCGAACGGCAGCACAAGAGAGCUUGCUCUCUGGGUGGCGAGUGGCGGACGGGUGAGGAAUGCAUCGGAAUCUGCCCAUUUGUGGGGGAUAACCUCGGGAAACCGGGACUAAUACCGCAUACGACCUACGGGUGAAAGCAGGGGAUCUUCGGACCUUGCGCAGAUGGAUGAGCCGAUGCCGGAUUAGCUAGUUGGAGGGGUAAAGGCCCACCAAGGCGACGAUCCGUAGCUGGUCUGAGAGGAUGAUCAGCCACACUGGGACUGAGACACGGCCCAGACUCCUACGGGAGGCAGCAGUGGGGAAUAUUGGACAAUGGGCGCAAGCCUGAUCCAGCCAUGCCGCGUGUGUGAAGAAGGCCUUCGGGUUGUAAAGCACUUUUGUUGGGAAGGAAAAGCAGCCGGUUAAUACCCGGUUGUCAUGACGGUACCCAAAGAAUAAGCACCGGCUAACUUCGUG